UGGAUCCAGACUUUGAUCCUGGCUCAGGACGAACGCUGGCGGCGUGCUUAACACAUGCAAGUCGAACGGAGUGCCUCGGAAAGAGAUUUCGGUCAAUGGAAGGGGUUACUUAGUGGCGGACGGGUGAGUAACGCGUGAGGAGCCUGCCUUUCAGUGGGGGACAACAGCUGGAAACGGCUGCUAAUACCGCAUAACAUAUCUGCAUCGCAUGGUGUGGAUAUCAAAGAUUUAUCGCUGAGAGAUGGCCUCGCGUCUGAUUAGCUAGUUGGUGAGGUAACGGCCCACCAAGGCGACGAUCAGUAGCCGGACUGAGAGGUUGGCCGGCCACAUUGGGACUGAGAUACGGCCCAGACUCCUACGGGAGGCAGCAGUGGGGAAUAUUGGGCAAUGGGCGCAAGCCUGACCCAGCAACGCCGCGUGAAGGAAGAAGGCUUUCGGGUUGUAAACUUCUUUUGACAGGGAAGAGGAGAAGACGGUACCUGUCGAAUAAGCUCCGGCUAACUACGUGCCAGCAGCCGCGGUAAUACGUAGGGAGCGAGCGUUGUCCGGAUUUACUGGGUGUAAAGGGCGUGCAGCCGGGUUUACAAGUCAGAUGUGAAAUCCCGCGGCUCAACCGCGGAACUGCAUUUGAAACUGUAGAUCUUGAGUACUGGAGAGGCAGGCGGAAUUCCUAGUGUAGCGGUGAAAUGCGUAGAUAUUAGGAGGAACACCAGUGGCGAAGGCGGCCUGCUGGACGGCAACUGACGGUGAGGCGCGAAAGCGUGGGGAGCAAACAGGAUUAGAUACCCUGGUAGUCCACGCUGUAAACGAUGGAUACUAGGUGUGCGGGGACUGACCCCCUGCGUGCCGCAGCUAACGCAAUAAGUAUCCCACCUGGGGAGUACGAUCGCAAGGUUGCAACUCAAAGGAAUUGACGGA
rnacentral:rRNA from 1 species